UACGGAGGGUGCAAGCGUCGUUCGGAAUCAUUGGGCGUAAAGAGCGUGUAGGCGGUCCGGUAAGUCGGCUGUGAAAGUCCAGGGCUCAACCCUGGGAUGCCGGUCGAUACUGCCGGACUAGAGUUCGGAAGAGGCGAGUGGAAUUCCCGGUGUAGCGGUGAAAUGCGCAGAUAUCGGGAGGAACACCUAUGGCGAAGGCAGCUCGCUGGGACGUUACUGACGCUGAGACGCGAAAGCGUGGGGAGCAAACAGG
rnacentral:rRNA from 1 species